CGAGAGGAAGGAAAGCUUGCUUUUCUGAAUCUAGUGGCGAACGGGUGAGUAACACGUAGGUAACCUGCCCAUGUGCCCGGGAUAACUUCUGGAAACGGAUGCUAAAACCGGAUAGGUAGCAGACAAGCAUUUGACUGCUAUUAAAGUGGCCUUGGCCAUGAACAUGGAUGGACCUGCGGUGCAUUAGCUGGUUGGUGAGGUAACGGCCCACCAAGGCGACGAUGCAUAGCCGGCCUGAGAGGGCGGACGGCCACAUUGGGACUGAGACACGGCCCAAACUCCUACGGGAGGCAGCAGUAGGGAAUUUUCGUCAAUGGGGGGAACCCUGAACGAGCAAUGCCGCGUGAGUGAGGAAGGUCUUCGGAUCGUAAAGCUCUGUUGUAAGAGAAAAACGGCACUCAUAGGGAAUGAUGAGUGAGUGAUGGUAUCUUACCAGAAAGUCACGGCUAACUACGUGCCAGCAGCCGCGGUAAUACGUAGGUGGCGAGCGUUAUCCGGAAUGAUUGGGCGUAAAGGGUGCGUAGGUGGCAGAUCAAGUCUGGAGUAAAAGGUAUGGGCUCAACCCGUACUGGCUCUGGAAACUGAUCAGCUAGAGAACAGAAGAGGACGGCGGAACUCCAUGUGUAGCGGUAAAAUGCGUAGAUAUAUGGAAGAACACCGGUGGCGAAGGCGGCCGUCUGGUCUGGAUUCUGACACUGAAGCACGAAAGCGUGGGGAGCAAAUA
rnacentral:rRNA from 1 species